CCGUCUAGAGUAUAGCCUUGGAUCGACGGCGGAGAUGGAGGUGGGAUCGUACUGGAAGGAUUUAUUCAGCUCGUGCUGGCAUGCUUAUUCCUAAGUGAAUCCACCUAAUACAACACAAGUAAUGCAAAUAUUUUCAGACAGGUUACCGAUUAGGAUCUGUUGCAAGGGGAUCAACGUCGACUCCAAAAAGGCGAAGGGCUCCAUCAUCGAAAUUAUUACCACUCCCUACAACACAGCUUGAUGUAUUUAGGAAUCAUUCAAGUUCAAAAUAACUUAAGAAAAUCCAUGCAAGACAAGGCAUAACCAGUUGGGGUUCGAGUUCCUGAACUGCGACCAGAAGAAGGCGUAACAUUUUCACCACACGAUAUUCCCCGAAAGUGAAGACCAACCAACAAGCUAUAAUCCAUAAUCCUCUCCUGCUCAAGAAAGUCACAGUCCCUAUCCACUUGCCUGCGUUCAAAAGUUCUAUCAAAUCUAUAACCUUACUUUACUCUCAU